GUCACUGUGCCAUUUUGAGAAUUAAAUUUAUUUGGCUGGUAUUUUCCACAAUAUGGGAAAAAUAUUGUGAUUUUGUUAUCCUAUAGAUGGUUGAAGGUCCCAUAUAGUUUUUGAUUAUUGAGAUUUUAGUGGAUCUAUAGUUUUGAUUCCAGUUUUUUGAUGAGAAGUGUCCAGCCCUUAUUUGAGAAGAAAUGUUAAAUAAUUAUUGAUUGUGUGCCUUCACAAUGAGGUUUUUCUACAGA